rnacentral:tRNA from 1 species
GGACUUUGGUACGGAAAUUUUUCCAGGUGGCAGUGGAGUUAUUUACUAGUAAAAUAUUGAGGUACAUAAUUUUAGUAGU